GGAAACCUGCUGCCAUCAGAUGGGAGAGAGAAAAAGGAAGGAAAGGAGCAAAAAAAAGUUUCUAUCAGACAGCGAUAAGCAUUAAGUGUGGCUGAUCUGAUUGCAGUCAAGAGGUGAGAAGCUUGUACAGGAGCUCAAGGACAACCUUUGAUGUGUGAGAACAACAGGAGAGGAGGUGCAUUUCCCUUCACAACCAGAAGGGGCAGUAAAACACCUCUUUCCCCACAGCUUUCAGUCGGCUGACGCCCCCUAAUUAUCAUCGUCACCCCGUCCUUUAAUCACCGCCCUUGACCAGGCUCCCGACAGGAGUGGGUGUGUGAGAGAGGAGGGGCGCUGGAAGAGCCAGGGCUGGCGAUGUGUGUGAUUGGGCACACCUGAUGUAACUGGAGCCUCAUCAACGCCGCUGUUUAAAUUGCGAGUGCACCUCUACUCGGGAGACCAGUCUCUUCCCCGUGUAUGCACGCUGAUGUCCUCAUGGGUCCUUGAAGGGUGCGUAGAGGGACUCCCAUGCUGCCAGAGACGUGAGCUGCGACCACUCGGGCCCCUGAUUAAAGAGCGGAGAAUGUGCGGCCACCGGACUCUGCCCUCUAACCUGAACCCUUCCUUCCUGAACACUGCCCCACCUACACAAACCACACAGCACGACGAAGACACCAGAUUUCCUGUUUAUUUUGGACACUCUUCUCCUUUGGACACUUUUAUUUCCCUGUUUUUUGUUUUUUCUUUCUGUUAAUAAAAGCCUCUCCGAGGCCUGACGCCACCCCUACUGUGUCUGCCGUUUGCUACUCUCGCCACAGUUAAUAUAAUUUAAAAAUGUGAUUUAUUCCUAUGAUGGUAAAGCUGAAUUUCUAGCAUUCAUUACUCCAACCUUCAGUGUCAGAUCCUGUCAGAAAUCAUUCUAAUAUGCUGAUAUGGUGCUCAAGAAAAUGUUUUAUUGAUAUCAAUAUUGAACUGUUGUGUUUAAUAUUAUAGUGGAAACUAAGUGGAAGUAUUUAUUUGAAAUAUAAAUCUUUAUUGCAUUAUAAAUACAACAUUUGUAAUGUCUUUGCUAUGAAUGGUAGUGUACAUAACAGUAAAACAAAUGUUUAAAUUUGCAAGGCAAAAAAAAAUGGAUGUACAAGAUCAA